rnacentral:lncRNA from 1 species
UUUCACUCAGUCUGGUUUUAAAAAAAAUAAUAGUCAGACAGUUGGAGAGGUGAGCACAGGGCUGACCCUGGAAGGACAGUCGUUGGGGAGCUCUGGGAGUCUGGCAAGGGAAGUGCAAGCUACAGAGAUGAGGCUACCUCUGCUCUGGCCAUGCACCUGUCAUCUCUACACUGUGUGGCUCUGGAGAAAAAUGGGACCAACCUAAAUCCAUCCUAAGGACAAAAGAGAAGAAACUUCGCAACUGGAAGCAUUUGGUUAAAUAAAUAACGGGUUGAUCCAGUCUGUGAGACCUGAGAGAGCCGUGAAGACUGCAGGUGGGAGUACUUAUCGGAUGAGGGAAGAUCGG